rnacentral:siRNA from 1 species
GAGAACACUACAUAAGGCAAUGG